rnacentral:rRNA from 1 species
AGGCAGCAGUUAGGAAUAUUGCACAAUGGGCGCAGGCCUGAUCCAGCCAUGCCGCGUGUGUGAAGAAGGCCUUAUGGUUGUAAAGCACUUUAAGCGAGGAGGAGGCUACUUUAGUUAAUACCUAGAGAUAGUGGACGUUACUCGCAGAAUAAGCACCGGCUAACUCUGUGCCAGCAGCCGCGGUAAUACAGAGGGUGCGAGCGUUAAUCGGAUUUACUGGGCGUAAAGCGUGCGUAGGCGGCUUAUUAAGUCGGAUGUGAAAUCCCCGAGCUUAACUUGGGAAUUGCAUUCGAAACUGGUUGGCUAGAGUAUGGGAGAGGAUGGUAGAAUUCCAGGCGUAGCGGUGAAAUGCGUAGAGAUCUGGAGGAAUACCGAUGGCGAAGGCAGCCAUCUGGCCUAAUACUGACACUGAGGUGCGAAAGCAUGGGGAGCAAACAGGAUUAGAUACCCGAGUAGUCC